rnacentral:rRNA from 1 species
CGCGAAGAACCUUACCAAAUCCUGACAUCCUUUGACAACUCUAGAGAUAGAGCUUUCCUCUUCGGAGGACAAAGUGACAGGUGGUGCAUGGUUGUCGUCAGCUCGUGUCGUGAGAUGUUGGGUUAAGUCCCGCAACGAGCGCAACCCUUGAACUUAGUUGCCAUCAUUUAGUUGGGCACUCUAAGUUGACUGCCGGUGACAAACCGGAGGAAGGUGGGGAUGACGUCAAAUCAUCAUGCCCCUUAUGAUUUGGGCUACACACGUGCUACAAUGGACAAUACAAAGGGCAGCGAAACCGCGAGGUCAAGCAAAUCCCAUAAAGUUGUUCUCAGUUCGGAUUGUAGUCUGCAACUCGACUACAUGAAGCUGGAAUCGCUAGUAAUCGUAGAUCAGCAUGCUACGGUGAAUACGUUCCCGGGUCUUGUACACACC